rnacentral:rRNA from 1 species
GAGUUUGAUCAUGGCUCAGAACGAACGUUGGCGGCGUGCUUAACACAUGCAAGUCGAACGAGAACGGUUCCUUCGGGAGCUUAGUAAAGUGGCGCACGGGUGAGUAACACGUAGAUAACCUGUCCAGGUGUUCGGGAUAGCCCUUCGAAAGGGGGAUUAAUACCGGAUACGUUAGUCUGUUAUAAGGCAGAUUAAGAAAGGUGGCCUCUAUUUAUAAGCUAUCGCAUUUGGAGGGGUCUGCGUACCAUUAGUUUGCUGGUGGGGUAAAGGCCUACCAAGACUUCGAUGGUUAGCGGGUCUGAGAGGAUGAUCCGUCACACUGGCACUGAAACACGGGCCAGACUCCUACGGGAGGCAGCAGUGAGGAAUAUUGCGCAAUGGGGGAAACCCUGACGCAGCGACGCCGCGUGGGUGAGGAAGGCUUUCGGUCGUAAAGCCCUGUCAGAAGGGAAGAAAUGUGUAUAGGUUAAUAUCUUAUACAUUUGACGGUACCUUCAAAGGAAGCACCGGCUAACUCCGUGCCAGCCGCCGCGGUAAU